ACUUUGCCCGAGUAAAUCAGGCCGAGUAGGCCGAUAAGUUAGAGCUCCGGCGAGGCUUCUCAUGCGGCGAAUCAUUGUCGGUCAGUGUACCGAGCCAAUUGGAGAUGGAGACGCGAUACGACGCGAUGCGAUGCGACGCGACGCGACGCGACGCGACGCGAUGCGAUGCGAUGCGAUUGGUGCUUGACAGUCAACACAGUCAACGAGCUUGCUGCUUGCUGCACGAUAGCGGCGCAGGUGUGCCCGUGUGCCACGGUCAGUUUUGUACGCGUCAGUUUUGUACUGUAUAUACGCUUUAUCUAAUAACGAAGUCAGUGGAGCCCACUAUUUUGGUAUGAAUUAUUAUUUCUGUGACCGUGCUUUGGUACGUUUUUUUUAUUUGACGAAUGAUGCACUACUUGGACAUUCCUGUGAUCAAUUGAACACACAAAAGAAAUCGUACAGUUCAGAUGAUCUCGAGUAUAUGGGAUGUACCGUAACCAUGCGAUUACCGAGUAGCAUUUUAUAGCAUUGUGCAGCAUCUCGUAAAAUCCUGCAACUGUGAAUGCAUUAUUGUGAUAUAAGCGAAAGAUAUCUACGUGAGUGAUUUUUGUUGAUACAAAUAUGGCUGAUUGAGAAAUCCGCUGCGAUUUUAAUUAGAUUAAAAAACUUUCUUAAAGACAUGAUUUACCGUUCCUUAUCGCGAAUGAAAGUACGUGAAAGCGCCUUCAUCUGUGGCAAAUCAGUUUGUUCGCUCUUAGGACAUUCAUCGAUAAUUUAAACUUUUUAUUUUUAGAUUAUGGAAUCAACAUUGCUGUAAAUCAGUCAAUAGUCAACAAAGAAAUAACAUGUUCGUGGUUGCAUUAUGAGAGAUUUACAUGGCAAGAACAUGUUAUUCUUAUACGAUACUGCUUCCAUGCGAGUUCACGAAUACUGUGAAACCAAAGGCUGUGUUAAGAGUGCGUUAUACACGCACAGUGAUAUUCGGCGUGGAGAAAGGAUCUCGCUUCGUGACAGACUAGUUUGCCGUAUGGUUUAAUAGACAGUGUUUUAAUUGUGCAUAAAAUUCAGUGUUUUAAUUGUGCAUAAAAUUCGUUUUUUGCUCGUAAUUAUCUUUAAUGUUAUAUUUUGCAAUUGUUUAUUCUGUGUAUUAAUGAGAAAAAAGUGGCAGAGUGAAAGGCAAAAAAAAAAAGAACAAAAAGAAUAAAAGAACAUUACAGGAUCCUUAAUGGUAAUGCUUUAUAUAUUUGAAAAGUAAUGUUACCGAGUUAUAUAAAUGGUGAUUUUUUUGAUCGGAAAAAGAAAA